GUGUUGGGAAAGAUUCAUCGGUAUGGGAUGGGGUCGCGUCCUAUCAGGUAGUCGGCGGGGUAACGGCCCACCGAGCCUACGACGGGUAGCCGGCCUGAGAGGGCGACCGGCCACAUUGGGACUGAGAUACGGCCCAGACUCCUACGGGAGGCAGCAGUGGGGAAUAUUGCACAAUGGGCGCAAGCCUGAUGCAGCGACGCCGCGUGCGGGAUGACGGCCUUCGGGUUGUAAACCGCUUUUGACUGGGAGCAAGCCCUUCGGGGUGAGUGUACCUUUCGAAUAAGCACCGGCUAACUACGUGCCAGCAGCCGCGGUAAUACGUAGGGUGCAAGCGUUAUCCGGAAUUAUUGGGCGUAAAGGGCUCGUAGGCGGUUCGUCGCGUCCGGUGUGAAAGUCCAUCGCUUAACGGUGGAUCCGCGCCGGGUACGGGCGGGCUUGAGUGCGGUAGGGGAGACUGGAA
rnacentral:rRNA from 1 species